UACGAAGGGGGCGAGCGUUGUUCGGAUUUACUGGGCGUAAAGGGCGCGCAGGCGGCUCAUUUUGUCAGGCGUGAAAGCCCCGGGCUUAACCUGGGAACUGCGUUUGAUACGGAUGGGCUAGAGUUCGGGAGAGGAGAGUGGAAUUCCCAGUGUAGAGGUGAAAUUCGUAGAUAUUGGGAAGAACACCAGUGGCGAAGGCGGCUAACUGGUCCAGAUCUGACGCUGAGGUGCGAAAGCGUGGGGAGCAAACAGG
rnacentral:rRNA from 1 species